rnacentral:rRNA from 1 species
UACAGAGGUCCCAAGCGUUGUUCGGAUUUACUGGGCGUAAAGGGUGCGUAGGUGGCGGGGUAAGUCUGGUGUGAAAGCUCCGAGCUCAACUCGGAAAAGCAUUGGAAACUAUUCCGCUAGAGGGUCGGAGGGGAGACUGGAAUUCUCGGUGUAGCAGUGAAAUGCGUAGAUAUCGAGAGGAACACCAGUGGCGAAGGCGAGUCUCUGGACGACUCCUGACACUGAGGCGCGAAAGCUAGGGGAGCAAACGGG